UCCGCUGGAAACGAUAUCUUAGUAUAACUAAAACUAGAUUUGUCUCUGAUGCCGAAUCAUAGAUAAUAUUUACAUUGAGGCAUGUUCAUGUAUCUUAAGGUUAAUGCUAUGCGACCCGAGAUCACCAAACUUAGUAUUAAAAUUGUAAAAUUAAAUAGGCGCGCGGCACGAGCGCGACCCAAAUGUGCAGGCGGUGUGGACGCUCCAUACCGCGUGCGAUCCAUUUGUUGUCGGUUUUUUGUUCACGCUCAAAGGGGCCUCUCAGUCACUUGCCGCGCGCGGUAUGGACGGUUGUGAUUUGAAUCGCGUGAUCCAACGUUAUGGAUAAUUCACUAUGUAUUCUUUCUUUAUAGGGAGAAUAAAUGUUUAUGGGAACCUAAUGAUAUUACACAAAUAGUAGGCAAACUUCCAACUAGUUUGCCUACUAUUUGCGAUGAACAAAAGUCAAAUUGAUCUGCAGACAAAGUUCAUCUGAUUCAGUAUGGAUCAGCCAGUCAGGAUCGCAAAAGAUUGCUGUUGGAUCGGCCUAGUACGAUUCUUGCUCCACGCAUCGCGAUCUUGGAUCGCCGAUCCAUUUUGGAUCGUUCGGUGUGGACGCAGCUAAUAAGUAUAAAUAUAUACAUUUCUUAAAUUGUGUUGAACGAAUGUUGUUUAAACAAGCUUGGUUUCAUUUAUUAAUCUAAUAUGAAACACAAAAGGUAUGAAUAUAAAAUAAAACCUCCUGUUGAUUUUAUUUUACACGUAUGUAUAUAUUAUGUACUUUAUAAAACUUUUGUGAAGAACAAAGUUCGCAUCAGACCAUAGUUCAUUGACAAUUUUACUGGAAUAACAUAUUUUAUGAGAUUGUACCAACAAUAACAUUAAUUAACCCAAUGCAUAAAUAUUUACAAUGGUUUCUUUAAUUGAAGCGGUCGUUUCUCAUUAGACCGUGUUUAAAUGCGAUUGCAAUUGAAAUUAAUGUUUGUCAAAGCAUAUUCUAUCUAAUAAAUAUUGUGCAUUUUAUAAAUGCCUAAAGAGGCAUGUUAACGAACAAAGCGAAUGGCCCUACGGAAUCCUUUCAGUCUAUGUAAUGAACAUUGGAGAUAACAUUAUUUAUUUAACUAUGAAUCAUAUAAAGUGGGCCAUCGGAAAAGUACAGCUGAUAACAUCACUCUAUUAAGACGUAGUUGUUCUGUUUGUCAGACCACGUGUUAUAUUUAUAUCCUCGUUUCCCAUAAUAAUCUCGGAUUGAUCAUUAAACGAAGGCUGCCGUUUCAAAAGAAGGCAAGCUUAUCGCGUGUCGCGCGUGCCUUGCGCGCGCCGGUGGGCUAGCUUGUUCAAGGUCACGGACGCCUUGUAUUUACGUUUUUUACUCGAUGUUAUUUUCAAUCAAAGAUAAGGUCAGAUAAUACUAUUCCGCCCUCAUUUUUUAUGUCAAUUUACAAAGAAAAUUUGUAAUUGAUUAUUGGAAUCAGCGUUUCACUCACAAUUAGAUUUUAUACAUAAAUAAAUAUGUAAAGCGUUCUCCGUCAUUCAUGUUUUCUUAUUUUACUUUCGGAAGAGGGUAAACACAUUUAUAAAUAUAUUGCGUCGCGAUUAUUCAAGGCCCAACCAAACACGUCUCGAACUGGGAUCAAUAUUUACAAACAACAUUGUUUAUUUCUGCAAGUUAUCACUCAUUUUAACAUCCGGUUCAUUAUAAUAAUAUUUUUCGAUCAUACUUUUUAUAAUAUUAACUAAGUAUUACUCCGUGCGAACACAAGUCGUGGUAUUAUACGUGAGUAAUGACUAAUGAGAGAGCCCAUAACGUAACAUAUGUUUCGAUGUUCUUCUAGAAGUCAGAAAAGGGCAUUACUUAUCAUUUAUCAACACGCAAUUGCUUGCAAAUGGCUCAAUAAACACUUACGUUUUAAAUGAGGUUGUUGUUAAAAAUGAUAGAGUACCUAUAAGGAGCUGUCACUUCGUAUUUCAAGCUGAAUGCUGCGGUUCGCGAGAUGAAACAAUAACAUUUUGUUUUAAGCUAUUCUCACAGUGUAAAUAUAUUUUUGUAUCUGAGAUGUAUGUUUAGCUAAAAUGCAAAAAUGCGAUAGAGGUAAAAGGCGUGCAAAUGCAGGCGCCACAAUUAACCUUUCUGUACGAUGGAUUUGCGGUGAAACCUAUGAAGACGGUCUGUUUUACAUAUAAUAAAUUAAUACAAUUAAAUUUUUCUCAUUGUCUUGCGCGCACACAUCUUUAUGUUUUGUUACACACAGAACUUAAGGGAGGAACAAGAAUUCCCUCAGGGGCUGAAUCAAAGUUAUUUUUUUUUAAUAAGACUGUAUAAGUUUGUGUGUUUCUUUAGUUUUGAAGAAGAUGUAAGAGUCAAAUUUACCGCAAUUGUGGCUAAUCGAGAGAAUGAGAUAAGGUCAUUAUUUUUUGAUUACCUAAUCCUUUUAAAGUCUAGGUCUCUUGGGUCUACAGUUUUCCAGGCGCCGUGGAGGUAGUUUCGACAGAUCCUUCCAGCCACUUCACGCAUCUCUUCCUCGCUCCCGCACAUCUGCAGUUUCUGUAAGCGACGAGGGAAUAUAAAGGUUACAUUACAUUACAAUUUUAAAUAGCUUUAAUAAAGUAAUGAAUUCAUCACCUAUUAAAAAGGCAUAUAGUUUUAUGUAGCUUAAGACAAUCCGAAAUGAUUAAAAAAAUAUUUCGCUCAUGAGCCAGGUCAGCUAGUUGAAUAUUUCUGGCAGGGGACAUCACUAAACAUUCUACAUAUUAUGUCCAUCGGAUAAGUACAUUAAAUUAAUCAUAUCACCUGCUGUAGCUAGUCAACAAUCAUGUUUAUUAUUUGUUCAUAAAUACUACAAGUUAAUAAAAAUAUUAUUGUGAUAUGGAACCUUUAUUAAAAUAUUGUAUACAUCUAAAUAUAUAUAUAUUGUUCAUCUAACAUUCAUACAUACUGUUUUAUUUACUGAAUGUUACAAAAUGCAACUUGCAUUUUUCUUAUAUUGUGUACUUAAAUAAGUGAACAAAUAGAAUUGAUAUAAAAAUAAUAGUAAUUUUAAGAGUUAAUACAUCUAUGACAUGUGCCAUAUCACUUUAUGGCAGUUAUAAAGUGCCUUAUAGAGUAAUUUACUCAAAUCCAAGAAUAACAAUAUCUUUGGCCUUCACCUCGCACGAGCCACACAAUAAUUUAUCUCUAUGAUAAGAAAGAGCUUUUCGAGCCUUAAAAUGUGAAAAGUAAAGCACCAAAUUAAUAUAGUUAAUAGCUGCUAUAUGGGAUUCACUAUUCAAGUGUAAAGAAAUAUAAUGUACCCAGAUAGCCAUAGCCACAUAAUUAUUUAAUGCUAGUCUGUAAUUGUUUAAUAGCUUAAAUAAGCUAGAUUAUAAAUUCAUAUUUUAAAAAAUUUAAGAAAAAUAUGAAAGUUAUAGCACAUUACUUAAUUAGUCAUUGAUAUUGGUUUAAAAAAGCAAAGGUGUGUUGUUUUCUUUUCAUUAUAUAGAGAGCAAUAAACUGAUUGCUUUACAGUGCGUGUAGUAAAAUUUAUGAUAAGAUAUCAGAACACAUAGUGAGGAUUAUGUUGAUAUGUGGUUACCAACAUAGUAUCAUCAAGGACAGUCAUAAAUUCAAUAUACUGUUGUUAGUCUCUAGAAUAAAUGGCUGCUUUAAAAACACAUUCUAAGCAAGUAGCAGCAAAGCUAUUCAAAGCAAACUCCUCAGUUUUAAUCAGAAAAAUAUUUUAGUAGUGUUUACAAGCACAUAUUUUGUACUUUAUUAUUACAACACUGAAUUAGUUAAUUAAGAGCAGCUUGCUGUGAUUACUAAUUUACACUAAUUAUAGUGGAAUUUUCCAUUGAUAAUUAAAUAUACAUCACUGAUAAAUAAAUACAAACAUAAAAAGUGAAUAUAAAAUCGAUGCCAUUGGGUUGAAAUGCUAACAACUGUUUUUAAAGGAAAUCCUAAUACAUAUAAGAAUAUAAAACUGGUAUCAAAAAUAACAACCUACUAUUAUGUUCUCCAAUAUUAUUUUAUGAAAUGAAAACAUUUAAAACUAGUAUUGCAGCUCCUUUCCUAAUUAAAGUAAAUAGAUCAAAAAUAUUAAGUGAGCCCAGGUCUAGGAUUCUGUAAAUGAAGAAGGAAUUUAUAUAAAAGCUAAAACAUUUAAAUACUGUACUAUAUAGUAGUAAUAUAUAUGUAUCAGAUAAGAGAACUGUUGUUCAGUAUCACUUAUCAGUCAGACAGUAAUAAUAUUCAACAGUCAAGUCUAUGCAAACUUAUUUGUUCUUAUAUGACAAACAUUGUUCUUACAUAUUUUCCAACACAAUAAAAGUAUUUUUAAUUAUUGUUUCAUGAUAAAUACAAGGCAAACACAACCACAAUCUUCUGAAAAUCUUAAGAUAUAUUCCUGUGACGUAAUAUAA